UGAUGUGGAUCAUUUAUAAAAUCUUUAUUGAAUUUGUUACAACAUUGCUUCUGCGUUAUGUUUUGGUUCUUUUGUCCCUCCAGGCAUGUGG